rnacentral:rRNA from 1 species
UUGAACGCUGGCGGCAGGCCUAACACAUGCAAGUCGAACGGUAACAGGAAGCAGCUUGCUGUUUCGCUGACGAGUGGCGGACGGGUGAGUAAUGUCUGGGAAACUGCCUGAUGGAGGGGGAUAACUACUGGAAACGGUAGCUAAUACCGCAUAACGUCGCAAGACCAAAGAGGGGGACCUUCGGGCCUCUUGCCAUCGGAUGUGCCCAGAUGGGAUUAGCUAGUAGGUGGGGUAACGGCUCACCUAGGCGACGAUCCCUAGCUGGUCUGAGAGGAUGACCAGCCACACUGGAACUGAGACACGGUCCAGACUCCUACGGGAGGCAGCAGUGGGGAAUAUUGCACAAUGGGCGCAAGCCUGAUGCAGCCAUGCCGCGUGUAUGAAGAAGGCCUUCGGGUUGUAAAGUACUUUCAGCGGGGAGGAAGGGAGUAAAGUUAAUACCUUUGCUCAUUGACGUUACCCGCAGAAGAAGCACCGGCUAACUCCGUGCCAGCAGCCGCGGUAAUACGGAGGGUGCAAGCGUUAAUCGGAAUUACUGGGCGUAAAGCGCACGCAGGCGGUUUGUUAAGUCAGAUGUGAAAUCCCCGGGCUCAACCUGGGAACUGCAUCUGAUACUGGCAAGCUUGAGUCUCGUAGAGGGGGGUAGAAUUCCAGGUGUAGCGGUGAAAUGCGUAGAGAUCUGGAGGAAUACCGGUGGCGAAGGCGGCCCCCUGGACGAAGACUGACGCUCAGGUGCGAAAGCGUGGGGAGCAAACAGGAUGAGAUACCCUGGUAGUCCACGCCGUAAACGAUGUCGACUUGGAGGUUGUGCCCUUGAGGCGUGGCUUCCGGAGCUAACGCGUUAAGUCGACCGCCUGGGGAGUACGGCCGCAAGGUUAAAACUCAAAUGAAUUGACGGGGGCCCGCACAAGCGGUGGAGCAUGUGGUUUAAUUCGAUGCAACGCGAAGAACCUUACCUGGUCUUGACAUCCACAGAACUUUCCAGAGAUGGAUUGGUGCCUUCGGGAACUGUGAGACAGGUGCUGCAUGGCUGUCGUCAGCUCGUGUUGUGAAAUGUUGGGUUAAGUCCCGCAACGAGCGCAACCCUUAUCCUUUGUUGCCAGCGGUCCGGCCGGGAACUCAAAGGAGACUGCCAGUGAUAAACUGGAGGAAGGUGGGGAUGACGUCAAGUCAUCAUGGCCCUUACGACCAGGGCUACACACGUGCUACAAUGGCGCAUACAAAGAGAAGCGACCUCGCGAGAGCAAGCGGACCUCAUAAAGUGCGUCGUAGUCCGGAUUGGAGUCUGCAACUCGACUCCAUGAAGUCGGAAUCGCUAGUAAUCGUGGAUCAGAAUGCCACGGUGAAUACGUUCCCGGGCCUUGUACACACCGCCCGUCACACCAUGGGAGUGGGUUGCAAAAGAAGUAGGUAGCUUAACCUUCGGGAGGGCGCUUACCACUUUGUGAUUCAUGACUGGGGUG